rnacentral:tRNA from 1 species
GUUUCUGUAGUUGAAUACAACGUUGGUUUUUCAAGUCAUUGGUCCUGGUUAAAACCCGGGUAGAAACU